CAACGUGCGACGGCCGGAGCGUGGAAAGGAGACAGAGUUCAGAGAAGGAAGGAGCAAACGCAGAGGAGCGGGAGGGAGCUCCGACCGCCCCUCUCUCCUAUGCUGCUUUGUUGACACCUCCUUGAAAAAGUGCUCCGCUGAAGUCGCCUGCCCUUUGUGGUUAAUCUUGCAGUAAAUCUUUAAAAGUUGCAGAUAUCCGAGGCUAAGUUAUGUCGGUCUCCUUUCCCCCACCUUAUUCCCGCGCAGUUUUUACUCAAUUCAACAACUGUUUGAUUACCAGUUAUAUCUGUCGCUGGGGCUAUUGAGAUAAAUGACAUUUCCUGUCCUCAAAGGGAAGUUGGCAAGUGUAUCUUCGACCUCCCGGAGCCUUCAAGCUAUGCUGCCCGAGAAAACAAAGUCCCUUUCUGCUCCCUGGAACUGUCUCAGGUUCCCAGGCACGGCUCCCUUUUCACUUGUCCGGUCCCGUUUCUCCACGGUUCACCUGCAAACGGGCAACAGCACCAGCCUCCCAAAGGAGCCGGAGUUCCUGCAGCCGUUUCUGUGCAAAUGUUACCCCUCCCCAAGCCCCUGAAAUGUCACUGUACGUGCAGGCCACAACCAUAAUGAAAGGAACACAUUUGGUAAAGUAUAUAACAAAUGCAAAUGAAAUUAAGCACUUAUUUGGUCUUCAUCACAAGUUAUUUGUAGUUUUUUUUUUUUGUUGUUCUGUGGGAUGGACUUCUGAGAUACCAGAUCUGAUGGCCAUGAAAAAAAUGUAAAGAUAUAGGCUGAUGAGUGACAUGUCAAGGAAGGACAUCCUGUCCCUCUCCCCUGUCGCUUCCCUUCCCAUGGCUGCUUGUGGAAAGGGCAGGAAACACAUGGUGUCUGCCAAUAACAGUGGCAAGCUCUAUUCUCCUAUAAUAUUGAAUGUUUCUGUUUCAUUAAUUCACUCUUUAUUAUAAUAAAAGUUUGAUACCUGGGC